rnacentral:rRNA from 1 species
UACGAAGGGGGCUAGCGUUGCUCGGAAUCACUGGGCGUAAAGGGCGCGUAGGCGGCCAUUCAAGUCGGGGGUGAAAGCCCAGGGCUCAACCCUGGAAUUGCCUUCGAUACUGUUUGGCUAGAGACCGGAAGAGGUAAGUGGAACUGCGAGUGUAGAGGUGAAAUUCGUAGAUAUUCGCAAGAACACCAGUGGCGAAGGCGGCUUACUGGUCCGGUUCUGACGCUGAGGCGCGAAAGCGUGGGGGGCAAACAGG